rnacentral:lncRNA from 1 species
UCAAAAAGGAGGUAAGCAGAACAAACAAUCAAUUAGAGAUCAAAUUGCACACAAUUGAAGAGAAUAUGUCUACUCAUUGUAUUGAUGUGUAUGUAAAUACAUUUUAGAAUACAAUAAGUAAAGCAAAAAGGAAUACAUGUCAAAAUAAAGCAAAAAGCAGCUAAGGUCUCCUCGAGGAUGUGGCUCCUCCUCUCGAGGAUGUGGCUCCUUCUCUCGAGGAUGUGGCUCCUCCUCUCAAUCUGUUCUGCUCCAUGAGGAGAGUGACCGCAUCUGUAACAUGCCCGAGCUGAGAGAUAAUGGAUGAGGUGGCCCUGCUAUGUGUAGUGGAGAGCUCAGUCAGGGUCGCCU